GCAUAAGGCAUGGGAAAAUGGGGCGAUGGAGUGUAGCAUCGGCCCUGCAGGAUUGCGCCUUCCGACGCAUCCCCAAGCGAGGUUGAACACCUUUCAACAAGAGGCAUCAGUAAAAACUUGUGGAUACCAGGAAGUGUCAUGGCAAGAGGCUGCAGUUCUGGAGAAAAGGAUCUUAGAAGAUAGGUUUCUGAUCGAUCUGAACAUUUGCAUUGUUAAGAUGGUUGCCUCCUGUUAACAUGUUUUGUAAAUAAAUUUCCACACUUGCAUGCAUUAAGUUUAAUUUCCAAAUGCAC